CCUACGGGAGGCAGCAGUGAGGAAUAUUGGUCAAUGGACGAGAGUCUGAACCAGCCAAGUAGCGUGAAGGAUGACUGCCCUAUGGGUUGUAAACUUCUUUUAUAUGGGAAUAAAACGUUCCACGUGUGGGAUUUUGUAUGUACCAUAUUAAUAAGGAUCGGCUAACUCCGUGACAGCAGCCGCGGUAAUACGGAGGAUCCGAGCGUUAUCCGGAUUUAUUGGGUUUAAAGGGAGCGUCGGUGGAUUGUUAAGUCAGUUGUGAAAGUUUGCGGCACCACCGUAAAAUUGCAGGUGAAACUGGCAGUCUUUCGUGCACACCGGGCUGCCGGAAUUCAUGGUGUAGCGGUGAAAUGCUUAGAUAUCAUGAAGAGCUCCGCUCGCGACGGCAAGUGUCCGGGGUGCAACUGACGCUGAGGCUCGACAGUGCGGGUAUCAAACAGGAUGAGAUACCCUUGUAGUC
rnacentral:rRNA from 1 species